rnacentral:rRNA from 1 species
ACGCUCGACACCUAGGAGGCAGCAGUGGGGAAUAUUGCACAAUGGGGGAAACCCUGAUGCAGCGACGCCGCGUGGAGGAAGAAGGUCUUCGGAUUGUAAACUCCUGUUGUUGGGGAAAAAGAGGAUGGUACCCAACAAGGAAGUGACGGCUAACUACGUGCCAGCAGCCGCGGUAAUCUGAGCGGGCUGGCAAGGC